rnacentral:rRNA from 1 species
CGCGUGUGUGAAGAAGGCCUUCGGGUUGUAAAGCACUUUCAGUCGUGAGGAAGGUGGUGUAGUUAAUAGCUGCAUUAUUUGACGUUAGCGACAGAAGAAGCACCGGCUAACUCCGUGCCAGCAGCCGCGGUAAUACGGAGGGUGCGAGCGUUAAUCGGAAUUACUGGGCGUAAAGCGCAUGCAGGUGGUUUGUUAAGUCAGAUGUGAAAGCCCGGGGCUCAACCUCGGAAUAGCAUUUGAAACUGGCAGACUAGAGUACUGUAGAGGGGGGUAGAAUUUCAGGUGUAGCGGUGAAAUGCGUAGAGAUCUGAAGGAAUACCGGUGGCGAAGGCGGCCCCCUGGACAGAUACUGACACUCAGAUGCGAAAGCGUGGGGAGCAAACAGGAUUAGAUACCCUGGUAGUCCACGCCGUAAACGAUGUCUACUUGGAGGUUGUGGCCUUGAGCCGUGGCUUUCGGAGCUAACGCGUUAAGUAGACCGCCUGGGGAGUACGGUCGCAAGAUUAAAACUCAAAUGAAUUGACGGGGGCCCGCACAAGCGGUGGAGCAUGUGGUUUAAUUCGAUGCAACGCGAAGAACCUUACCUACUCUUGACAUCCAGAGAACUUUCCAGAGAUGGAUUGGUGCCUUCGGGAACUCUGAGACAGGUGCUGCAUGGCUGUCGUCAGCUCGUGUUGUGAAAUGUUGGGUUAAGUCCCGCAACGAGCGCAACCCUUAUCCUUGUUUGCCAGCGAGUAAUGUCGGGAACUCCAGGGAGACUGCCGGUGAUAAACCGGAGGAAGGUGGGGACGACGUCAAGUCAUCAUGGCCCUUACGAGUAGGGCUACACACGUGCUACAAUGGCGCAUACAGAGGGCAGCAAGCUAGCGAUAGUGAGCGAAUCCCAAAAAGUGCGUCGUAGUCCGGAUUGGAGUCUGCAACUCGACUCCAUGAAGUCGGAAUCGCUAGUAAUCGUGGAUCAGAAUGCCACGGUGAAUACGUUCCCGGGCCUUGUACACACCGCCCGUCACACCAUGGGGAGUGGGCUGCAAAAGAAGUAGGUAGUUUAACCUUCGGGAGGACGCUUACCACUUUGUG